CAGUCGCCGCGGUAAUACGAAGGGGGCUAGCGUUAAUCGGAAUUACUGGGCGUAAAGCGUGCGCAGGCGGUUAUAUAAGACAGAUGUGAAAUCCCCGGGCUCAACCUGGGAACUGCAUUUGUGACUGUAUAGCUAGAGUACGGCAGAGGGGGAUGGAAUUCCGCGUGUAGCAGUGAAAUGCGUAGAUAUGCGGAGGAACACCGAUGGCGAAGGCAAUCCCCUGGGCCUGUACUGACGCUCAUGCACGAAAGCGUGGGGAGCAAACAGGAUUAGAUACCCCCGUAGUCCCUGUCUCUUAUAC
rnacentral:rRNA from 1 species